rnacentral:lncRNA from 13 species
GUUCUUCCUCGUACCUGGACUUUUUAGCCAUAACUUGCUUUGUCUAAUGGAAUGUGAGUAGAAGUGGGAGUGUGUCAGUUUUUAGUUUAUACCUUAGAAGGCAUUGCAUUUCCGCCUGCCUUUUCAUGCUUCUGUUGUUACUUCCUUGAUACUUUCUGUUCCUUUAUCCUUCACCUUAGAAUGAAUACCUAUUGAAUUGGUCAACCUUCAGUGAGGAGCAAAGUCCAGCUGGAACCACAACUUGAAUCAGAACCACUCACCAAGCCCAGUCUAGAUCAGUUGGCUGUCAAACGAAUCACUGAUGUGCUGAAAGAAGUACAGGCCCAGGAGAGAAGAAUCAAUAGUCUGAGGAUUCAAAAUCUAAUCUAUAUUAGUAGUUCCAUAAGCUAUAAACAUACCAAAAGAAAUCCUCUCCGUAAAGAUAGAAGAAAAAGGAGACACUUAUUACUGAACAAGCACUAA